rnacentral:rRNA from 1 species
UACGUAGGGGGCAAGCGUUGUCCGGAAUCAUUGGGCGUAAAGCGCGUGUAGGCGGUCCGGUAAGUCCGCUGUGAAAGUCGGGGGGCUCAACCCUCGGAUGCCGGUGGAUACUGUCGGGCUUGAGUACGGAAGAGGCGAGUGGAAUUCCUGGUGUAGCGGUGAAAUGCGCAGAUAUCAGGAGGAACACCAAUUGCGAAGGCAGCUCGCUGGGACGUUACUGACGCUGAGGCGCGAAAGCGUGGGGAGCGAACCGG